UACGGGGGGUGCAAGCGUUGUUCGGAAUCAUUGGGCGUAAAGCGCACGUAGGUGGCUUUGCAAGUCAGGUGUGAAAGCCUGGGGCUUAACCCCAGAAGUGCACUUGAAACUGCUUAGCUUGAGUACGGGAGAGGUGAGUGGAAUUCCUGGUGUAGUGGUGAAAUACGUAGAUAUCAGGAGGAACAUCGGUGGCGAAGGCGGCUCACUGGCCCAGUACUGACACUGAGGUGCGAAAGCAUGGGGAUCAAACAGG
rnacentral:rRNA from 1 species